rnacentral:miRNA from 1 species
AGAUGUUUUGGGACUACAACUCCCAUCAUCCCUGACCACUGGUCCUGUUAGCUAGGGAUGAUGGGAGCUGUAGUCCCAAAACAUCU